rnacentral:rRNA from 1 species
UACGUAGGGGGCAAGCGUUGUCCGGAUUCAUUGGGCGUAAAGAGCUCGUAGGCGGCUUGGCAAGUCGGGUGUGAAAACUUCAGGCUCAACCUGGAGCGGCCACUCGAUACUGCCAUGGCUUGAGUCCGGUAGGGGACCACGGAAUUCCUGGUGUAGCGGUGAAAUGCGCAGAUAUCAGGAGGAACACCGGUGGCGAAGGCGGUGGUCUGGGCCGGAACUGACACUGAGGGACGAAAGCUAGGGGAGCGAAUGGG